rnacentral:rRNA from 1 species
UACGGAGGGUGCGAGCGUUGUCCGGAAUCACUGGGCGUAAAGGGCGCGUAGGCGGUUUGUACAGUCAGAUGUGAAAUUCCUGGGCUCAACCUGGGGGCUGCAUUUGAUACGUGCGGACUUGAGUGAGGAAGAGGGUCGUGGAAUUCCCAGUGUAGAGGUGAAAUUCGUAGAUAUUGGGAAGAACACCGGUGGCGAAGGCGGCGACCUGGUCCUUGACUGACGCUGAGGCGCGAAAGCGUGGGGAGCAAACGG